CCUACGGGAGGCAGCAGUGGGGAAUUUUGGACAAUGGGCGAAAGCCUGAUCCAGCCAUGCCGCGUGCAGGAUGAAGGCCUUCGGGUUGUAAACUGCUUUUGUACGGAACGAAAAGCCUCUUUCUAAUAAAGAGGGGUCAUGACGGUACCGUAAGAAUAAGCACCGGCUAACUACGUGCCAGCAGCCGCGGUAAUACGUAGGGUGCAAGCGUUAAUCGGAAUUACUGGGCGUAAAGCGUGCGCAGGCGGUUUUGUAAGACAGAGGUGAAAUCCCCGGGCUCAACCUGGGAACUGCCUUUGUGACUGCAAGGCUGGAGUGCGGCAGAGGGGGAUGGAAUUCCGCGUGUAGCAGUGAAAUGCGUAGAUAUGCGGAGGAACACCGAUGGCGAAGGCAAUCCCCUGGGCCUGCACUGACGCUCAUGCACGAAAGCGUGGGGAGCAAACAGGAUUAGAUACCCUGGUAGUCCACGCCCUAAACGAUGUCAACUGGUUGUUGGGUCUUCACUGACUCAGUAACGAAGCUAACGCGUGAAGUUGACCGCCUGGGGAGUCGGCCGCAAGGUUGAAACUUAAGGAAUUGAGGCUGNGAGNGCGAGACGACGACGAGGAGGAGG
rnacentral:rRNA from 1 species